GUGGCAGACAAGAGACAAAUUCCAUUAUUCAAGGGCAGGAGACAGGAGGAGGUAGGAUCUUGGCCAAGACCUCACAGGUCUGAAUGAGCUGAGGGAAGGGCACAGGGCACCUGCAUGUUGUUUCAGAUUCUCCAGUAUGAUCCUAAUGACCCUGCCCUGUCCUUCAAGAGUCCCUCUGGACCUUACAGCAGCCAUCAAAGAAGGCUGCUUGUCCAAUACUGGUCCAGGAGUAACAGAAUCUAAUGGAGAAAAGUUACAGCUGGCUCAUGUAACACCAAAUUUCUUGCAGGAAGGCAACAACACCUGGUGGAAAGAUUGUUAGGUGAGAAACCUGAGUUCUAGCCCAGCCGCUGUCAAUCAAAAGCAAAGUAAAGGACUAAAAUAAAAGAAUGGGAACGCCGCCUACCUCAUACGACUUUUAGGAGGACCGAGAGGCGAUAUGAUAUAGACGGGGGGCGCUUUGCACUGCGUGAAGUGCUCU
rnacentral:lncRNA from 1 species